UACGGGGGGGGCAAGCGUUGUUCGGAAUUACUGGGCGUAAAGGGCUCGUAGGUGGCCAACUAAGUCAGACGUGAAAUCCCUCGGCUUAACCGGGGAACUGCGUCUGAUACUGGAUGGCUAGAGUUUGGGAGAGGGAUGCGGAAUUCCAGGUGUAGCGGUGAAAUGCGUAGAUAUCAGGAGGAACACCUGUGGCGAAAGCGGCGCACUGGACCACAACUGACGCUGAGGCGCGAAAGCUAGGGGAGCAAACAGG
rnacentral:rRNA from 1 species